rnacentral:rRNA from 1 species
UACGUAGGGUGCAAGCGUUUGUCCGGAAUUAUUGGGCGUAAAGAGCUCGUAGGCGGUCUGUCGCGUCUGCUGUGAAAACUCAGGGCUUAACCCUGAGCUUGCAGUGGGUACGGGCAGACUAGAGUGCGGUAGGGGAGACUGGAAUUCCUGGUGUAGCGGUGAAAUGCGCAGAUAUCAGGAGGAACACCGGUGGCGAAGGCGGGGUCUCUGGGCCGUAAACUGACG